rnacentral:rRNA from 1 species
UACGGAGGGUGCAAGCGUUGCUCGGAAUUAUUGGGCGUAAAGGGCAGGUAGGUGGUCUCAUUUGUCCGGGGUGAAAUCCUUGAGCUUAACUCAAGAAGUGCCCCGGAGACGGUGAGACUAGAGUUUUGGAGAGGGUCGUGGAAUUCCCGGUGUAGCGGUGAAAUGCGUAGAGAUCGGGAGGAACACCAGUGGCGAAGGCGACUACCUGGCCUGUUCUUGACGCUGAGGCGCGAAAGCUAGGGGAGCAAACGGG